UUUUUUUUUUUUUUUUUGCAAUUUGACCAUCCGUGAUAAUCACUUAAAUUCUACCUCAUUUGCACUCAAAUAGUAAAUGUGAGAUCACACUGUUCAGUGCAAGCUUAUAAAUUAUGCAUUAGAGAGCAUAAGAUUGAAGCAGCUAGCAUAAAGGAAAAAUGCGAGGUCAUAGUUCAGUGCAAGCUUAGAUUUUAUACAUUAGAGAACAUGACAUUGAAAGAGCACAAAAAGAGAGAAUGAUGCAUGGAUGACACUCUUGUAAUUUGAUAGCCCAAAGAAAGGACAACUAUGUAAGAGAUACCAACGUAUUUUGCACAACAAAUUCGUUUUCUUCAAUAUACCAAUGCUUAUUUUUUGCAGCAAAGGUCCUGAGAAAAUCUUUUGAUAUAGAUACAUGUCUAUCUAAUUUGAAGCUAGCAUUGGAAAUUUUUGGGGUGGCACUUUUGGGCGCAAGAAUCCUACAUAACAUGGACCCUAAAACUGAAAGGUUAUGGCCAAUAAGGUUGAAGAGUAUGAUGAGGCUCCUCUUACCAUAAAUGAACCGUGUAAUGGGAGAUGGUGAAUUGGACAUCACAUGGGAGUCACCCUCAAGCACGUCACAACUUGAAUGGAUACUACAAUCAGAGAAAUCUAAUAAUGUAAGAGAGAGGAGGGUUGUGUAUGUUCUUGGUGGGAUGGAAGCGGUGAAAACAUUUCAACCAUAGGUAAACAAAAAGAAAAGGAAACAAGAAAUAAAAAGAGGUCAGAAACAAUUUCUUGAACAGUGAGACAGAGAGAGAAAGAGAGAAUGGAGGGAAAAGAAAGUGGGAAACUCAAAAAUCCAGAAAGCAAAUUACUUACAACAUGAAUAAAGGCUCUCUCAUUUCUGUUUGUUUUUUUCUGAUCAGCUAGCUAGCUCCAAGAUAGAUAGAUAUAAUGUAUCCAUUGCAUUGCAUUCACAAUAUGGCUUGAGCGCAACUUCACCGAGGUCAUAUUCAAUCCCAUUAAUAGUCACUUUCUGAAAGAACAGAUCUCAUUAUCUCUCCCCCUUUUUCCCAUACUUGAGAAAAAGAAAUGGACGGUUAAUGGAGUUAAGGAGUCUGAAAGAAAGUGGACAUCAGCAGUCAAUUCCCCUCCCCCCCCCCCCAACCCACAAACACCAAACAAAAACUCUCUCUUGUGUACUUCAUCAACUUGAGCCCUCCUCCAUACAGUUUCCCUACAAGAAAAUGAAAGUAUUUGUAUAGUUACCCUAUACCACCAAAAUAAUAGAGCUUGUUGUUGUUGGAUGGUCUAUUAUCUACCUAUAAAUACACCUCCCCUUCAGCUUCUCACUUCCAUUUUCUGCAAAACUCUCCUGUUCACAGCUACAAUAUUUUCCUUAGCAUUAUUAUAGAGUGUAGACUCUAGAGAAUAGAACAGAAUUCUCAUUUCUCUCGUUCUCUUCUUAUUAGUUGUUUGUUACACUAGCGAGUCUCCCUUUACUGUAUCUUUACUUUCUUCAGGUCAGUGUAUAGAGUUCAAAAGUUCCAUGUAUAUUGACCUAAAACACACGCAAUACCGAGUGACUAAGAAUUUCUUGCUUUGCUUAUUUUGGAUGCCUCUAUAUAUUUCUGUUUUACUACUAGAAAACUCAUCAUCCUCCAAUUCUGGCUAUAUUUUGUUAUCACUUUAUCAACAGAAUCAUCAAAUUGGUUUUGCUUAUUUCAGCUUUUGAAGAUGGAUUGUCCUAGUCAAGAUCAUCAAUUUGAUCAGUCGUCCUCUUCUCAGCUCAGAAAAACUGGAAGAGGGAAGAUUGAGAUCAAGAGGAUAGAAAACACUACAAAUCGACAAGUCACCUUCUGCAAGCGUCGUAAUGGCCUCCUCAAGAAGGCUUACGAAUUGUCUGUGCUUUGUGAUGCUGAAGUUGCUCUGAUUGUCUUCUCCAGCCGCGGCCGCCUUUACGAAUAUGCUAAUAACAGGUUGAGGGAAAUUUGCUUGUUAAUUGUUCUUGCUCGAGUUGCUUCUAUACAGGUUAAUUAGUAGUUUUUGAGGUUGUUUUGACAAAGUUAAGGUUGUUCAUUGAUUCCUUUAUUUGGUGAAAAGAAGUUUUCUCAAGUUUCCAUCUUUUCCCCGUGUGUUAAUGCCAGUGUUCAGAAUUUAGAAAGACAGAUUGGUCGUGGGGAUGGACAUGUAUAUGUCUUGAUUUCAUCAGCUCCUGUCAUAGUAUUUAAUUGGGGAUUUUUUGGCGUAGGAAACAUAAUAAUUUGAUGCAGUUAAGAUAGAGUUGCCUCACAAAGAUUCACUUGUUUCUCUCCUGUUUUCUUUCCUUAAUGAGCUUUGCAACAUACCUCUUUCUUCUCUAUUCUUCUCUAUUCGUCCUUCCCAGUUUUUUGCUUGAUCUAAUCCUCAGAUCUGCUAUAAAAGAUGGGAGUAGAACUUAUCCAUAAAGCUAAGAGUUCUGAAACAACAAUUCAAGUGAAGAAAAGCAAAGAAAUUCUUGGGAAUCAGCUUCCUCUUAUUAUCUCCAUUGUUGUUAUCUUUGCCUUUUCUUUUGCUUAUUUUUCCUCACUCUAUUUUCCUUCUCUCCCUCUCUCUCCACAUGUCACCUGUCAGCUUACAUGAAGCUCUCUGCUGACUGCUGCUCCUAAGCUGUCAUGUCCUCAUUAUCCCAUCCUCUUCACCUCAUGACUCAUCCUUAAAUAAUAACUUGUCAGUCAUCGGUAUAUAUGAGAAAAAGAAGAUGACAGUUAAAAAUGACCAAUGAAGUUUCAGAUUAGGGUUUCAAAGCUCAAAAGGGUUGGUCUUAGAACUAAUCAAAAUCCCAUCUUUAGACGCAAAAGGUCAAAUUAGGGUUCUAAUAACAAAUGAGAUUUCUUGGAUUUUGUCAUCCUAGUUGACCAUUCUACCCCUUGCAAUAGCCUAUAGGCUACAGUAAGAAUAACUUUUGAAAAAAAAAAAAGUUACUUUAAGGUGGCUAGUACAGAUUUUAGGGUUUGAUUUCUAGAUGUGCAUACAUCAUAAGUUAGGCCAGAAUCUUUGGUCUGGUCACACAUGAUUUUUCAGUUCUAGACUUGAAGACAAGAGGAGGAGUGUCUGUGCCAUAUUCCUUCCCAACCUGGGGUUGUCUUUCAUCAUCUCCUCAGUCAAAUUUUUAUCUCAAAAGGUGAAAUUUUACUCAUAAUAGAUCCUUCAACUUAGACUUCUUUGCCCUUUCUUCAAAACUUUGACUUCCCUUCUCAAGCUCAAGAGAUCAUCCAUAGAUCAGAAGACGGUGAAGAAGCACGAAAGGUAAAAUGAAAGCUAAAUUUGGUAAUUAGCCCUUUUAUAAAAAUUUUAUAUCUUUCCUUUUUAGGUCACUCUUCUUGUUAACCAAUCAGGAAAAAACAAAGAGAAAAUGGGGAUGGGGAAUCAAAGGUACGGAAAAAUUAAAAGGGUUAAUGGGGUUUCUGCACUUUUUUAGAUUGUUUUGUUUUUCUUGCAUGGGGAAGCGUGUGUAAGUUUAUGCAACAAUGGCUGCUCUCUGAAGUCUGAAACAGACAGCUUCAAUCUGAUGUAUUCAGAUCAGAAGAGUUGACAGACAGACAAAGAAACACUUACUACUCAGUGCUCACACACAGAACACACACUAACACAAGCAAUAAUGGUACAACAGUGAGAAAAACUUUAUUUGGUCUUUGAAGUUGUGAGAGAAUGCAUAGAGGACUGCAAGAAAAUGGAACUAUGAAAGCAAUUUCGGGAUUUUGAAAAAAUCGAGGUGGGUAAUGGGGUCAAUCGAGAGGGUAUUACACUUUGGGUUAAAAGGGUUGUUGACACGUGGCAAUUGUGGGGGUAUAGAUACUCAAGCCAAUCAUAUUGUAGGAUCUUGUGCCAGCGUGGCAUAGGACAGCCCAUCUGUGGCUCGACAAAAUUAAGGUUGCAGCUUAUCCUGACUAUACUGAAAUGUAUGUUUUGUGUUUUGUCCAAACUGUACAGUUUUGCAGAGUCUGCGAUAGUGCGAAGUCUUGUUUACUAUUCAGCCUAAAAACUGGUUAAAGAAACUUGAAGUUUGAUUUUACUUGGGUCACUGAAAUUGCUUCUUUGCACUCAUCAUGUAAAAGAAGCAUACCACUUUGCAAUGCUGCAAUUAUAUAUCAACAAAAUAUGGUUUUCCUGCAAAAGAGUGCCUGACAUUUUAGAGUAGGAAGCUAACUAAUCAUAUAUAAUUAAAGACCUUUACGCAUGAUCUUCAGGUCAUAUGUGUUUUACAUAUUUGAUCUAAGACAAAUUAGUUUUCAAAAGAACAUCAUUAAUACGUAUUUUAUAGGUAAUUUUUAAAGAAACAACCAAAAACAGAAAGGUUAAUGUCUUGUUUUAGCCUCAAGUGAUGUGCUUAUGCCUUGCAUAUGCAGGAUCCAUCUUCUGUGUGAAGUCGUCAAAUUUGGCACUAUACUUUUAAGGUGGUAUGUGCUUUUGCUUAGAAAUUCCAAAGGCCAAGCAAGAAAAUGUCUGAACUUGUCCCCUUAAUCAUAGAGCAUAGAUAGCUUUCAAUCUAACUUGCUAAAAGAAAAGGAAUUGAAAUGACGACAUUUUUCUUACUCCUUUUACAGCAACAUCCUAAUCCUCUUGGUAAUUCAUAAAACAAAUGUUUUCUCUUAUUUAACUUAGCCAAAACUCCUGUCAAUUGUCAUCCUUCAAGUCACAUCAUCAAAUUUAAAUAAAUGGCCAGUCUAUCUUUAACAUAUAAAGCAUUUCUUUCCUCACUUUGAACUUCACAUCAUCAAAUUUAAAUAAAUGGCCAGUCUAUCUUUAACAUAUAAAGCAUUUAUUUCCUCACUUUGAACUUUUUUUAUAUCCUACUAGCCUUUUAUUUCUUUUCUUGUGAAAUUUGAAAGAAUAUUCUUAUAAGAUGAUGACAUUUGAAAGCUUGAGCUCACACAUGACCAUUGAAUACUUUCCUAUUAGCUGUCAUAUGCAAUUUAUAAAGUUUUCAUAGUAUAAUUUUGUGUCCUAUCUCUUAUUAGCAGUUUGUAAGGAGGUUUUACUAGACUAAAAAAUAUCCAAGACAGUAUAGUGUUUCUAAUUCUAUGUAUGAGCUCAUUGUGUUACAUUUCAUGUAGGAUUGCUCCAAUGUUACAUUCUCAACCUUGUUCUGAAACAAUUUUUACUCUGAACUGUAGUUACUGAGAAAUAUACGUUACAGUUAAGUUGAUAGCUUCCAAUUCAUCGUCUACUCGUUAGAAUUUCAUGAAUAUGCUAAGAAAGAACUGAUGUUCUUCUAGAAUCACCCUAAUAUGUUAGCGUUUGGUGUUCUUUUUUUCUUUUUUUCUUUUUUCAAUUCCUACUUCAAGGAGUUUUCUAAGAAUGACACAAAUUCAUCAGCAAAUUAUAGUAAUAUAUUGGCAGGAAAUAACCCCUUAGAGUUUGGGGUAGAAAGUUUCAUGCAUGCAUGUCAAUGAUUCCAAGGAUAAAGUGAUAUUUUUCCAGCAUGGGUGUAUAAAAGGAAAUAUUUAACAGACAAAACGAUCUUUAAUGCAUAAAUAAAUAAUGGGAUUUUUUUUUGCAUGAAAAUUUACAAGUACAUUGAACACAUUGAAAACAUAAUAAAAAAGAUUUCAAUAGAUCCUACAUCUGGAAUUCUUAUAAUCAUUAAUGAACAUCUUUUACAGGAAAAGAUGUGAAGAUUGGCUUAAACUUGUAUUAGAAUAUACAGUUACCAAUAUAUCAUUUGCAUUUUCCAAGUCAAUUUUCUCCAUGUCUGGGUUACAAAUACAUCUUUUACCAAGAUUGGCUUAAAAUAGUAUAUAGAAGACCUUUGACAUGCAAUUACAACAAGUGUUUUGAAUCACAUCUUUUAAUUAACCUACACCAGCUAUAUGAUGAUGAUGAUGAUCUACUGUUCAGAUAACCAUUUCAUUGGAGUACUUAACUUUUUUGGUUUCCAUGCUUAAAGAACGUCUACUGUUUUCUUUUGAUGUGUUGCAUUGAUAGUAAGACUAUACAAGUUCCUACAAGAUUAUGAGCACAUUUCUUUCCAAGAACAGAUUUUGCAAAAGUGUUGGAUGAUUUCUCCCUCGAUAAUAUAUAGAGAGCUCCAGUUCCAAGAAUUUUCAGGGUUUAAAGAUCGUUUUAAUAUGUUAGACAUUGACUUUUUUAUGACAAACGAUUUUCCUCAGUUUUAACUUCUUAUUUCUAGGUCACAUCAGAGUUUUAACUUAACAUUUAAAGACUCUAAAAUUUCUUCUUUCUCUUUUUUCAAUUUAUUUCUUUUUUUCUUGUUUAAAUUACAUGCAUUCCCUUUUUUAUCAAAUACUUCCAGACUUCUGUUCAAUAAUCUCCAAAAUUUUAUAAAUAGCUCUUCGAAGGAAAACUAACCUUAGCCUCUUAGUAAAGAGAAGAGUAGAGAAUAUACACAAAAAGCAUAGUUUGACGAAUCAAGAAAUAAUAUGGAAAAGAAUAGUCAAAAACCAAGAACUAAUAAUGUCUAGUGAACUUUCUCUUUUUAUAUUUUUUAUUUUUAGAAAUGAAUGCAGUUUGAACAAAAGAAAAGAAAAAAGAUCGGAUUAUAUAUACAUAUAGGGGUCAAGUAGUUAAGUUCAUUUUUUAAUUUACUUUCUCAAAAAAAAAAACAAAAGAGCCUUUCACAUUUCCUCUCCUUUCGGUUCAAUCAUAAAAGAGUCUAUAAUAAGGCAUCCUUUCUCAACUUCACCUAAAUGUUGGAAGACUGGCAGUUUAUGUGCACACAGUUAGUGGCUAUAUAUGUACUAUGUAUGUUGUUUGGCAACUUUUUGCUAAAAAUGUAGCUUGGUUUGGCUAUUUGUCAAUGUAUUUCUAGUUUUAACCUUGGUUUUGUCUCUUCUGAAUGGAGAAGGAUUGAUGACAUUUAUGACGAAAAAUCUGAUGAACAUUGACUUGUAUCUUCCUGCUUCCUACGUUUGCAGUGUCAGGGGGACCAUUGAGAGGUACAAGAAAGCCUGUGCUGAUUCAUCAAAUCCAGGAUCUGUUUCUGAAGCUAACGCCCAGGUAUAAUACUUCUCAUUGUUACGUUAAGCUAAACAGAAACAUUCCCUUGUAAAUGUUUCCUCAUAUUCUGGACCACAAGUACUGUAGCUAAAAGUGUUGCAUCAAUGUUGAAGAACGUAUUGCUUUCUGUCCUCUUUUCUUUAGUACCAUAAAUCCUCUCUCUAUCAGUUGAUAAUCUGACAUUUACUAUAUAUGUACGGUGGUAAUUGGAUUUCUCGUGCUCAUAUGGCCUAGGGACUUGUUUUCUUGUAAGAAAAGUUGAGCCAUUAAAAUGGUACCCAUGAAGUAUAAUAUCUUGAGAAGUUGUAAAUUUUAAUUUAGAUUGUGCCUAAAUAUGGUGCCCAUUAAUUUUAUAUGAGAAUUUCUGAAAUUAUGUCAACGAUGAUUGAAUUAUUGUUGGACCAUCAUGUUAGAUAAGGGAUCAUUAUCAUUGUUGAUUUUCACGAAGCUAGCUACAGGUUGUUCAGCAUAGAAUAGAGAUCAAAGUUUUUGCUAGGUGAAAAAUCUGCCUAAAGUUUCAGAUGCAGGAUUGCACUAGUAAAGAAAGGGACUGCAGGAGGACCACCUUAACAAUUUUCGCCUAACCAGGACAAAGUUGGCUUGAAGCAACUUGCCAACUUGGUUGGUUGAUUCGUUGUUACACGCUUCUUGCUUGUAUCUUUGUUUUCCCAAUCAUUAUCCACUAGUUGGAGAAUUAGAGGUCCAACUUCAAAACUUUUCAAUUCAGAUUUUCAAUCAUGUAUUCAUUUGUUUAUAUUAGUGGAUAAUGACAUUCAUUUGCGGACUGCAGGCCAAGAGAUUAAGCUUACCAAGAAUUUCAAGGUGGAGAUUAGGCCUACUCUUGUCAUGUUGUAAUUUGUCCCGGCACGCUAGUGUAGAGCAAGCAGGCCAGGGACAUAUACUGAUCACGGGUCAGAGAAUCGCCUGCAAACAAAAUGCUCUUUCCCUGAACUUUUGCAAGAAUGCACGGCCGUCAAAUCUGCAUGAGACCAGCAACGCUUUCACACAUUGGGUUUUAGUAUUUUUCGAGUAGCAGAUUAUAAGAGUUGAUGGAGUAAAUACCCUGGUAAUCACUCGAGGAGAGAAAAGGGAUUAUGGGCAUCGAAUAUGUUAAUAAGUUAGUUUAAUUAACAUAAUAACAUUUAAAUGGUUGAGUCAGACUGUAGAGAAAAUGAUGAAGCAACAAAUGACAAUACCACCAAAUCUUUAAGGUGUUCUUUACCAAAAAAAAAAAAUUAUAAAAGAAAAAGAAAACCAAGUCUUUAAGGUGUGUAGGCUUCUGAGCAACGAACAGCUUUAUCUAAUUUUCGUUUCUUUUCUUUUCUUUUUUCAAGAACAGCUUCGAUUCCGAACAGUGCACGAAUUUUUAUUGUUUUGGAUUCAUGUAGUUUAGUCAUUAGUGAACUUCUUUGAGAAAAUAAAGCAGCAAUCUUUGUUUUUGGUACGGUAUAUAUAGUGGCAAUCAUUGGUAUAUAUGGAUCUUAGAUUCCUUGUCUGGGAAUCUUAUGUCCCGCAAAUUACAAUGAAGUUUGUAUCUUAUUUACAUGAUUAAUUAAGGUUGGUUAUGGUUUCAGCUACCCCUCUUAAUCUCGCUUGAAGUGAGUUAAUUGUUCUUGAUUAGGUAUAUAGCUUUACUCAAAAUGGGAGCCUUUCCAUCAAGUUUCCAACCAUCACAUGGUCAUUUCUCCAAGUAGCUUUUUUGCCAAUCUUUGAAGCUGAGACAUCCAAAAGGAGAAAUUCAUCUUCCCUAAGAAUUUAUUUUCUAUUCCUUUUCCCCUCGAUUCACAUUUUAGGAUAAGUUCCACAAACAAGAGAAUUUAGCUCCAAAAGAAGAAAAAAGAAAAAGAAAAAUGCUCAGCAACCGCACAACUAGCUUUAAUAUGACAAAAGCCAAGUGCAAUGACGAGUCAAUACUUAUAACUGGAGAUAAUUAGUUACGUAUGGCAUUCAAUCAUUAAUCCGACACGGCUUAUGCAAUAAAAGAUUAUUCACUUAAUGUAAAAACAUUCCAAAUAAAGCAAGUGAAUUUACUAAAUUAUUUAGCAAUUUAUUACUGUCCUUGAAAAGACAAUUCAGGCCCCAUUUGGAUUCAUUAUAAGAAUUCGAAAAUGAUUUACAUACGCAAGGUGAAAAAGUUUUGUAAUAAGAUUAGUGUGUGGGAAUUGGCCUACUUUAUCAAAGUUCAUUAUCCAUAGUUUCUCAUUGAUUUAGUACAUAUGCAUAUAAUACUAUAGUUGUAUGCAUCACCUGAAUUUAAAUAAAGCUACUGCCUGUUCAUGGUUCAUUAUCAGGUUAAUGCGGACAAAUUGGAUGAGCCAAUCACAGUAAAGGACAAGAUACAUACUUUGCUAAAUCGCAGCUUGAGGUUGCCACCGUUUUGAGGUAGAGGUGGUCCGGCCGGCCAUUGUUCAGGCAGUUGAAUUCUUUCUCUAUGAAGGGACAAAUGGAGGAGUUGUACAUAGGAUAUGAUUCAUCGAAAACCAACUUCCUUGAAGAAGUCGCAGUUUUCUGCAUUUGCUCGGAGAAGAUGAGGAAGAAAAAGAAGAGAAACGAUGAAAAAUGCUAAAGAAUGGAGCGAACGCACAAUUUAAUUACUCUCUCUGAGGGGGAGAAAAGGCAAGAAUUCUUGGCGGUUGGUCAAGAGAGAAACGUUUAAGGAAUGGCCUCGAUCGAGCCUCUUUCCUUUCCUUCUGGUUUUCAUGUUAUCUAUUUUCCUCACGUAUAUAUAUAUAUAUAUAUAUAUAUACCUGGUUGGCAACAAAUACCGCGGGAGGGGAUGGGGCUGAGAUUAGAGGGAGGUGGGAAUCAUAUUAAGGGUCCACCUGGAUUCUUCAGUUUCUUGGAGGCAUUUUAGGCCAGUUAAUUACUAUGUUAAUCAACAGCGGACAAUGAUAAAUCCUAUGUAGGCAACAGAUUUGUUAAUAGAAGCAUUUGAACUUUUUUUUUUUUAUGCCAUUCAUUGUUUUGAUGACAAACCAGGUUAAAAUCACAAUAUGGUAAAGCUAAAACCAGGUUUAAAUCAAAUUUAUUGUUUUAACUCGUAUUAUAUUCUCUCUUUUUUUUUUUUUUUCGGUCUUUGUUGACGAGGAUAAUUCAAAAAAAUUUGAUUGCAUAAAAAUAAUAAAAUGCAUGACUAACUCCCUCUCUCCCAUGCAGGUAGGUACACAGGUAAAAGACUAAGGAAGCUAUUGUUAGCAAAUAGACAGUCGGAAGCGGCAGAUCAGAUAGUGGUAGUUCUUGGAAGCAUGUCAAACGUCAAUUACUUCAUGCCAAUUUCUGCUGUUGCUACUAAACUGUUAAUGAUUGCAGCGGAUGUAACAUCCAAGUAUUUAAUAUGAAAGCAAACACCCCAAAAAAGAACUAUUAAAGGAAAAGGAUAUAGAAUGAAAGUUCUAUCACUUUUUUUUUUUUUUGGGGGAAAAGGAUUCUAUCACGUAUUUUUGAACUUACUAGUAGCCAUUUUUUGUUUUACGUAAACUAAUCAAAACUAAUUGUACAUAAUUUGAGCAAUAGAAAGAGAACCCAGAUGAACAUUUUCGGUGAAGUGAUUGGUCUUUCGUUCAGUUUGACUAACGAAUGUCUAGUGAAUACUAUUAGUAAUUAUAUUUUUUUUUUUAGAAAAGUAUAAUUAAUUCAAAAAAAAGUCUAAAUGCAGGAGAGUGCAUUAAUUAUGAUUGCAUGUGUUAAUAUAGUAAGUUAUGCGUAAUUUAAGUGUGACAAUGAAUGCAUAAUUAGGUACACAUUAGAAAAAUUCUUCAUUAUUAGGCAUCUAAUCAUCGGCCAUCCUAAGAGCAAAUGCUCAGAAAAAUUAGCUGUUUUUGGGGGUAUUUUUGAAAAAUGUUACUGUAGCAGAAUUCUUAGAGUAUAUUUUGGGAUAUUUUUAAAAAAUAUUUUGAAUAUUCAAGAGUAGUAGAGUUUUUAAAAUAUAUAUUGGGAUAUUUUUUAAACAUUAAAAAAAAUUUAGACUACUUUUUAGAGUACUUUUUAAAAAGUAUUUGAAAAACUAAUUUUUGAAAAACAGAGGGAUCCAAACAGAGUCACCGACUCUGUUUUCGUAUUUGAUUAAUAAAUGUUAGAAUUUUGACUCAAUUUAUGUCUACCAAGGACUAAGAUUAUCCUCCCAAAAAGUAAAGAAAAACAACAAUCUGGCGUACAUCCUUUCUUGUUUCUCUGAUACAUGAAUAUCGAAUAUUUAUUUAUUUUUGUUACCAAAACCAUUAGAUAUUCAUUCUCGUUCUACUCUAGGGAUCGUUGAAAAUCUGGUUACUUAAUUAGAUUAAUACGAAUACAAAGAAAAUCCUUCCCAAACAAAUAAUAUCAGCAAAUUCAUUGGGUUCUCGGCAACCAUCGAGCAGAUGACUUAAGGCCGGCAAGAUAUUCCGACAUGAUCAUAAAAGCCUGUUUCCUGUAUAUGCAUUCACCGUUUGAAUUUAAGCAGAAUAUUCUUCGAGCUUCAAAAAGGUGUUUGAUGAUAAAUUUUAGAAACCAACUUUUUUUAAUUCAAGACAUUAGGUGCAAAAUACACCCAAUCAACAUUAGGUGCAUUACUUACUCUAAAAACUACAUUAUUGAUCAGUUUGCCAGAUUUCGAUGCAUGCAAUCAUAUGACAUGUUUUCUAGUUAAUGUUAGACAUAACAACUCUAACUAAAUUUCCUAAUGUCCUCAUCACAGUAAUGAAUUCAACUACGAAUGAGGACCGGGGAAGGAUUAUCUUUUAUCUGUAGCUAAUUAAAGAUGACUUCAAAGUUUGGGUAUCAUUCAGCCACCUGUCAAACAACUGAUUGAAUCAUUCUAGAGAAAUAAGUUUAUUAGGUCCAAAAUUUAAAGGCAAUUAGUUAUCUUGCUAUAACAUGAAUCAUUCUAGAGAAAAAUAUUGUACAGAAUCUCAUUCCAGGUAUCAGUGACUCCGGCUACACACCAAUGCAAGCAGUCCAUUCCAGUUCUUCCAAACUCGCCAUAAGCAGAUGGAUGUGCAUCUUUGCGAAAUUGCGAGAGGUGUGUUAUAUCAAAUAAUUUGAAGGCAGGGUUCUUGAUCUUGCUUAAUAUUUUCUUCUGUAUGCCUAAACCCCACGGCAAAUUUCCAUGGUAUAUCGAACCAAGGACCGGUUUCGUCUCCCUACCGCAGUUUCUGGUGUGAGGUUCAUCCCAUUCGCUGCCACUGCUUUGACGGAUGAUUACAAGAUAGAAAUGAGACCAAGGACGGGGAUAGUCUAACUAUAAUCAAACUUGUAAUUCAGAUUAACAAAAAAAACCCCAUUCGUUUAUGGUAUAAAUUUGACACCAAGAAUAAAAUUUGACGUGUGAUGUGUUGUGGAUAUAUUAUACAUUGAUCAUCUUACCCAAAAAAAAAAGAAAGAAAGAUAUAGUGAUUUCUUUUAGGAAACUCACUUGUAAUGCGCUGGAGAGGUGGUUUGAAAGAAAACCCUUGUUUUAUUAGGAUUAACAGCUGCAUCACCCAUCUAGCCCAUGUCGUGAGUCCCGUCUCCAAAGCAGCUAGCCGGUCCAUGUCUUUCAUUAUCUUAUCUCCGAGUUUAAUGAAAUCCCAUCUGCGAUUACACAUCAAAGUCUGUUCAAUUAAUGUUGAAAACAAUAUUUAAUUUUGCUCAAGCUAAGAAGCGUUAUGCGUAGAUUUAAAGAUCGACGGGAUUUCACUACUAACGGUUGCAUAGAUCCUUCUUCCCCACCAAGCAAAUGUGUUGAAGACGAGCACGUCAUUUACCAGCCAAUGACGGGCUUUCCCGGCAACUGAGUCUAAUACUAAUACCUACCAAUCUUGUCCUUGUCUCGUGCCACAUCCACCAAAAACAGAUUUCUAUCAAGCUUUACUUGAACUUCAUAAUCCUGCAAAGGUUAAGAUAAUUGAUGGGCAGAAGAAGUUCUUCGUUCCGAAAUUUAGCAGAUGGUAGAAAGGAGGAUUUGCGAGAAUGGGAAAAGAAAAUUUCAAAUUGUACGAUCUAUGAUUCGAUUCGCGAUUUUGAUAACAUUGCUCUGAACGUUUCUUUGAAGAACUUAAUCAAUUGGAGUUUAACGCAAUGUUGAACAAUUAAUUUCAUAGACUUAUCUUGAUCAUUUUAUAAACUUGAAUUUUUUCCCAUUUUUUUUUCCAAAAUUUGUGCUGAGUUUGAUUUCUCUAUUCAUAAUUUAAUUCAACAAAUAACGAGUAAUCUGAGCUCAAGUUGUGCUACAGGAUAAGCUUACUUACCAAGAAAUGUACUACGGAGAUGUCGCCUGAUCUCAUCUCUUUGUACUUGAUUCGCGGGCAUUGAUGUGUACAACAAGCAUAAUAACGACUGGUAUUGAUUCCGUGAUAAAGAAUCACCACAAACAUGAUGCUCUUCCCUUUGAAUCUUAGCAAGAAGUCCAAGCCACAGAAUCUGCAGUGCAUCAAAUUAAUUUCACAUUUUGGACCACGACUAAAAUAUUUUUCCGGUUGAAAAUUUCCAAAAAAAAUGUAUUCUUUGAUUGACAAGAUUGCUGAUUAGAGUUAAGAUAUCAUUCCUAACAAGUUGCCCAGAAAAUCAGACAAUGGAAAGGACACGAGUUAAAUAAAUUAAUCACAGUGGAACAAUUUGCUACAUGUCGUCCAAGGGUUGAAUUCCUUAACAAACAAAUCUUACUGUGCUUGGGUGUGGCGUAUUUACUCCCCAUGAAUAGAAUUGUCUUUUUUCGGAGUAGGUUUCCUCAAUCACCCAACGUUUAAAGAACGAAAAUUUGAUUUUUUUUUCCCUAAGAAACAUUCUGGUCUUUUAGCUCAAAAUUUACGGAAAAAUCAUAUUCUUAGUUACUCAAAAGACAUCAGCAAAUCCCAAUUGAAAAGGGGAGGAAAAGGAACAUUCAAGCACACUUCCAAUACUAACUUGUCAGUUAGAUCACAGAUGCAACAGCUUCUGAUACUACCUCAUUUUUCAAGAACCAGUAAUAUGGUUUUGGAUGCACUAAUUCAGCUUCCAAAUAAAAAACUCUAUACAAAAAUUCCCUCGCUCGAGAUUAAAAUUUCUUAGUUGUCCAUGUAGCCGCGACCCAAAAAAAGUUUUCUUUUUAGGUGCCAUUUUGGCUUUAUUGCGGUAGUAUUAGAAUCAGCAUCUACAUUGUUGCUAAUUAAGCACUGUAAGAACAAUCGAAAUAUUCUAUCAAUUCCAUGUUCUUGCAAUGAGAACUCAUCAUACGGAUACAAGUGUCUACGAUUAAUACUACAAUUGUACUUUCAUAUGCGAUCAUGCAUGCAUUGCAAUGUUAAAAUCAUUCCAAUCAUCCAAAAGUGUUGGAACCAAUACGCUCCAAUGAAUGAAUUGAUGAUGCCCAGAAAUGAGAAAACUCGUACUUUGUAAUUGACACUCUUGCGGUUGCACCGGUAUUUGAGGUACAUCUCAUCCGCGGCCAUUUCUUUGGCAGUUGAAUACAUGCUCUAUAAAGGGACAUGUAGUUGAGUUGUAGUGUGGGUAUGAUGAAUCAAACACCCAACUUCCAUUGAAGAAGUUGCAGUAUUCUGCACUUGUGACUUGGUAUAUGUGAAGAAGAUGGAGGAGGAGAUACAAAAUUACAAGUUUCAUGAUGGUUGAAACUAACAAUUAAUCCCUCUCUUUCUCCUAUCUAUAUUGGCUUUUGUUUCUAUAUCUCUAGUCGUGGAUAACGUGGAUUUGUUUGUUUUAUUUUCUUUUGGGUUUUUAAUUGUUUUACAUUUCUUAUGUUAGGAGACUUGUGUCAAAGAUAUUAAAUACUUUCCAAACAAAAUAAAGGCCAUUAUUUAAUGCAGCCUCGACACUUUUCUAGCAAUCCAUAUUUAUGUCGGUAAUGUUAUGGGUUUUGAGGCAAUUUAGAGAAGAAAUUAAAAGGGUGUAUCUGUUCAUUUAUUUGAUCACCUGGAUAUGAUAAUUGAUGCUCUAAUUUAUUAAAGAGUACAUUGUUGUAUCUAUCAUAGGCAGUUACUAUAUUAAUGGACGUGGGAGGGGGAGUAUCAUAUAUAUCCAAGAUAAAAAAUAACUGAAAAAUCAAAACAAAAUGCGGAGCAAAUGAAUAUCCGAACGAAAUUCGGGGCUAAAAAGAAAAUUGUGCACGAUUUCAUUCCAAUUACCAGGAACCCGCUACACACAACACAAGAAUUCGUUCCAUUUUUUCCGGACUUCGAUGGAACAAACUGCAGUUUGGUGCGUGGCCUGCGAAAAGUGAUGCUCAAGAAAAAAUGGAAGAAAGGAAAUGAGCAGCAUCACCCUUGAGACGGAACCAACUUAACUUGCGUAUGUGGAUACGGCAUUUGCGAUUAAGGGUCUGUUUGAUAAUAUAAAAAGUGCUAAUCUGAACUUUUUCAGACAUUCAAAUGUUUUGAGUGUUUGAUAAAUGAAAAUCCAUUUGCUGAACUUGUUAAGUAGUGCUGAACUUGUGUGUAUUUUUUUCAGCACAAGAAUCCUAACUGAAUGCUUAAUUCUGAUAAGAAUCAAUAGAAUUACUUCAACUACCUUAUCUUAUCUACCAAAUCUAUCAUUGUUUAUUAAUUAUAUUCAAAAUUCUUGUAUAAUUAAACAACUUAAUAUUCUCUAUCUAAUGAUUUUCUAUUUCUCAUUUCUCCCUUUUGAAUGACUUUCACUUCUUCUCCAUACUCCUCGUAUAAUAUAAUUCAUCUUUUAUAUUAAUUUGAUUUAAAAAUAAAUAUUGUCAUUUUCAUACCUAACAUUUUUAGCUAAUUAAAUCAUAGGUUCUAUUUCUUUUUUGGAUGAAAAGAUAUAAGGGCAAAAUUGUCAAAUUUAACUUAUUAAGCAUCAAACAGUAUAAAUAGGUUUAGCAUUAAAAUUCAGACAUUCAUAUAUUUCUUUUCAGUGUUUAAAAUUCAGCAAAUUAAUUGUUUCAGUAUUCAGAUUUUAGAAUUCAGAUUCAGUUUUAUCAAACGGAACCUAACUGUUCAACAGAUGAAUAGUUCACUACCAAAUAAGAAGAAUAUAUUUGUGAUGAAGUUGUAGUAAUUAAUUAGUUAGGAAAAUAUAUCUGGGAAUGUUUAUUGGGCUUUUUAAGCCAAGCUUUGUCCAACACGAGCUCCGUCUAUUUGAGUUUUUAGAUGUUUGAUCGGAGCUUAGCUCUUUAAAACUCACAAUCUUUAUACUAAAUUAGGACUGAAACAUAAAUCAAACUAUAUGAUACUCGAAUUGAAUUCAGUUUAAUAAGAAAUUGUUCGAACUUGAUUCACUAGCUAACCAAAUUAAACUUGAAUAACACUUUAUAGUCGAUGAACUUUCAAGUUUGGUUCGAGUCAAAUGACCUGAGUUUAGCUCAUUAAAACUCACAAUCUUUAUGCUCAAUUAGGAUUGAAAGGUGAACUAAAUUAGUUGGCACUCAAAUCAAGUUUAAGUUGGUGACAGUUCGUUCGAAUUUGAUUAGUCAAGCUAAACUCGACCAACACUGUAUAUUCAAUGAACUUUCAAUUAUUCACAAUAGAAAAUUACACCAAUUGUCCUUCAUAUAUUUACCAAUGGUAAAUUUUAUUCGUCACAUCUAAAAUAAAAUAUUUUACUUUUUCACAAAAUUCAUAAUGCACCUUUUUGCUAAAAAAUGCUCGUACUGAGCAACCAAAUCAAUCAAUUUCUACUUACCAAUUAAUUUGCUAGUUGCAGCAUUUGCAUAAAACUUAUUUCUAUCGCUGAACCUGCAUACAACAACUCAACCAAAUAUACACGUACGAAUCAUUUUGGCAAGGAAAGACUUUUGGAAUUUGAAAAACCAUUCUGAUAUCCCAACUAGUAUUUUGAGAAAUCCACUCAUAGCAUUUAUUUGACACAAAUUAAUUGGUUUAUUUCUAUUUAACGCUCAUAAUUAGUUGCAUCAUUGAUGGUUUUGACAAUAAAAUAUGGUCGCUGCUCCAGAUUCUCUCAAUGGUUCAUGGCCCGAAUUUUAUAUCAUUUAGAAUUUGAUGUAAUUUUUUUUCCCGAAUGAAUUAACUAAUCAUGGGAUGAACAGAAGAUUGUACAAGAUUUCAUUCCAAAUAUCAGGAACACCCCCUACGCACCAAUGCAAGCAAUCCAUUCCACUCCUUCCAUCCUGCCCAUAAACGGAAGGAUGUCCAUCUUUGCGAAACUGCGAAAGAUGUGUUAUAUCCAACAAUGUCACGGGCUUCUUGAUUAAGCUCAAUGCCUCCUUCUGCAACCCUAAAGCUGGCGGCAACCUUCCUGGAUAUACAGAGCCUAGCACUGGCUCCGUUUGGUCUGCACAGUUCCUCGCUUCGGGUUGGUUCCAAUCCCUGCCACUUUGUGCCAAAAUAAGCCACAAAAAAAAUUCACGAAGACAUUCUCAAAGGUAGAAUUUUUGUAACAUAAUCGCAAAUACAGAUUAAUAUGGCCUAAUAUGAAUAGCCACCAGCAACAUGGUCUAGUUGAAAUCGCGCCCAAUCCUGAAUUAAAAAAAAGGGGAGGGACUAAAUCCGCACCCCUCCAUCUUAAAUGCAACUUUUAAUACAUACGAUACAAGUUAUCAAUGCUCAUGGUAGAGGUCAUUAAUGUAUUAGGCUGUGGAUUUAGACUGUAGCAGCGUAGAUUUAGAUAGUCCCAAAAAAAAAACAAAUUGAUAAUUAACAUUUACGGAACAUAAUAGUUGAAAUUUUGGAUGCAACAGAAUUAUGUAGAAAAAGUUAUAAUAAGCUAUAACUAUAGUAAGGUACUCACUCGUAAUGUGAUGGAGAAACCGGUUGAAAGAACAGCCUGGUCUUAGCAGGAUCCAUGUCGCUGUCUACCCACUGACCCCAUGUACCAAGUGCCCUCUGAGGGCAAUAUUUCGGUCGAUGUCUUUCAAUAUCUUGUCUCCCACUUUAACAAAUUGCCACCUAAAAAUGAAAUUAUAAAAUUCACCCAGUUAAGAUGCAUAAAGCUUCUCAGAGAUGGAGUGAUCAAAGAGGUGCAAUUGAGAUGGUAGAGAAUCAGACUACUAACGGUUGUUUGGUUCCCCUGUAAAACCACCAUUGGUAGGUGUUGAAGAUGAGCACAUCAUUCUGUCUCCAUAGAUUUGCUUUCUCAGCCACUGAGUCUAGUAUCAACAACGUACCAUUCUCUGUGGCUAUCAAAUCCACCAAAAAUGGAUUCAAAUCGUACUUCACUUUUACUCCGAAGUCCUAAUAAUGUCAUUGGAAAAAAAAUUAGCAUCCAGGAAGUUUAGAAGUAUUUAUUUUUUUGAAACACUUUUUUAAUAUAUGACGGAUUAACUAUACCAAAAAUGUGACGGUGGAAAUGGAGCCAACUCUGUUUCGAUUAUACUUUAUCCGGGCACUGAUGAGUAUAGCAAACAUAGAAUUGAUUGAUACAAAUCUCGGGAUAAAGAAUCGCCUACGAUCAUGAUACUUUUUCCCCUAAAUUUCUGCAAGAAAUCACCGCCAUCGAAUCUGCACUUGAAAAAACAUGUUCCAUUCCACCGUGGUUAUCUUAUGUAUUCGGUUAGAAAUUUCAAUACGAAUGUAUGAUUAUGUACUAAAUAAACAAAAGGGUUUUGUUCGGGAAAAAAAAAAUUAAUCACAUGAUGUUAUGAAGAAUUUUCUUGUGCUGAAACAAUUAAAACUUUCUGUAAGCGAAUGAUUACAAAUUGUUAAUUGGUGAAAGAUUCAGUUUAACCAAAAGAGUCAAACUAUAUAUCCUUGCCAGUGCAAUGGUGGGAGUAUUAAUUUCUUCCCGACUGUCCAGAUUAAACCUCUUAUAUCACCCACUAGACAGAUCAUGAGGAUUGGCAUAAAGAACUAUGAUUGGCAUGAGCUCUUUCCCAAAGGUAAUUGUCUAUUGAUACAUCCCUUCAAUAUUAGGUGGUUAUAGAAGGAACUGGAAAAAUCUGACAUUGUGUUUAUUGAUUCAGUCAAGAGUAAUGCUGGUGCAAUUGCUGCUAUUUGGGCUCCUAUUAUACUUGUAAGAUUAAAUUCUAUUGUACAUGAUCCCUUACACUUAAAGCAUUGAGUAUCCUCUGUAUGACAACAUGUCUAGCAUAGGAAAAAUGUUUUAAUGCUUCCCUAUUUAGUAUUUAUGAAUCUCUUAGUCCCUGAUGUGGGUUAAUAAAUGUGGGUUAAUAAAUGAUUUUCCGCAAUAAGUAUUGUUUGCUAAUGUAGAGUUUUGUUUGUCAUUAUAUAAAUAAUUAGUUAUCUAAUGUUUUCAGGUCUAUUUCAUGGAUGCACAAAUAUGGUACUCUGUCUAUUGUUCCAUAUUUGGUGGAGUUUAUGGAAUUCUUCACCAUCUUGGUGAGGUAGGAUAUGUCUCUUGCUCGCUGAGAGUUAGUAUGAAGAUGUUCUCACUCAUCAUGUUCUGCAGAUUAGGACACUGGGAAUGCUGAGAAUUAGAUUUCACUCUUUGCCAGAUGCAUUCAGUGCAUAUCUUAUACCACACAAGGAGAAAGAUAAUAAGGAAGGAAUCAGUAAGUGGUUCCUCUGCCUGAGAGAAAAGGUAUGGACUAAUCUAUUUCAUGAUAUAGUUAUUAUUAAUUCUAAGACUUCCUUGCUUCCAUUCUAGAUAAUUUAUGAACUUUCAGGCUUUCGAAAAGAACAGUAUUGUGAAAUUCGUUGUCCUAUGGAACCAAAUUAUUAGUAGCUUUCGUGAAGAGGACCUCAUAAGUAACAGGUGUGUAAGCAUAUCAGAUUCUUCUUUGACCAUGGAGGUAUAGUAGAAAACUAAUGCUGGUAUAUUCAAAACUCAGGGAAAUGCAUUUGAUGAAAAUGCCUUUGUCAUCAGAACUGUUCUCAGGCCAAAUUCGUUGGCCUGUUUUCCUUCUGGCAAAUAAGGUAUUGUUUCCUACAUUUCUUGAUGAUCCCGAGUGCUGUUUUCAAAAAUCUCUCAGUUGUGGUCUUUCUAUGCAGUUCUCAACUGCAUUGAGUAUUGCAAGAGAUUUUUCGGGAAAGGAUGCUGAUCUUUUGAGAAAGAUUAAAAGAGAUGACUACAUGUACUUGGUAGUAACUGAAUGUUACGACUCGCUGAAGUACAUUCUUGAAAUCCUUGUAGUUGGGGAUUUUGAACAAAGGUAGAGUAAGUAGAAUGAAUUGAUGCCAUAAACAAAUCUAAUGAUCCAUUGCAGUAUCUAUUUUUCAUUAUAUGCCCUAUAGUUCCCUGCAUGUUUUAAUAACAAAAUUUGAAUACUCAUUUAUCUUGUACGGUUGGUCAUUCAGGAUUAUAUCUGGAAUAUUGGAUGAAAUCGAGGGAAGUAUAGGGUGCUCAACACUUCUUGAGGACUUGAACAUGAGUGAAUUACCAGCUCUACAUACUAAAUGUGUUGAAUUACUCGAACUACUGGUAAAAUGUUGCACACAAAUCUCGAAUGGUUUCUCUUCAUUUUUCAGCAUGACACCUAUCCAACUCCUUCUAGUUGAUACCUUUUCUUCAUUAAGGUUGAGGGAAAUGAAGAACAGUACUGUAAUGUUGUGAAAGCACUGCAAGAUAUAUUUGAAAUUGUUACCAGUGAUCUGAUGCUGAAGGGAUGUAGGUAAGCUGGAAGAAGGAUUUCUUUGGUUACCUAACAUGCAUUGAAAUCAAUUAUGUUGAUAUCAGCCUAAAUGUUCCAGAACAUUGGAUUCUCUUUAUGCUCAUCGUGAUGGAGAUGAUUCUGAACUUUUCACGCACAUAGAACCACAAUUAUUUGCUUCGGCUCGUUCUAUCCAUUUUCCACUGCCAGAUAGUGGCCUUAUAGUGGACAAGGUGCAUAUCUUAACUUUCGAUGAUACAUGUUUCAUGAACAGCAAAUACAUGGUUCCUUUACAUUAUUAAACUUAUAAAUAUUGCAGAGCUGAUUUUUUUUUGUUUUUGGGGUCAGAUCAAGCGUUUUCUUUUGCUGCUUACCACAAGAGAUAAAGCCAUGGACAUACCAUCAAACUUGGAAGCUCAAAGACGGAUUUCAUUUUUUGCAACUUCUUUGUUUAUGGAUAUGCCGAGAGCACCAAAAGUGCGCAACAUGUUAUCUUUCAGGUCAAACAUAAGGGUGGUUUUCUGGAAGUAUUAUUGCCAGGCACUCUUCUGAUUUAAUAGUAGAGUUUCUAAUUACUAAACCACUUGACAACAAAAGAGACAGCAUUAUAGUCAUUGAAUUCCAUGACAUACUAUUAUUGCUAAUUAUUAUCUGAAGAUAUUGUGAUACCUAUAGUUUGUCCUGACCUGGAGGCUUUUGUUUAAACAGUGUUCUGACUCCUCACUACAUGGAGGAUGUGAAAUAUUCAUCAGAAGAGCUUCAUUCUAACAAAGAAGGCGUUUCAAUCCUCUUUUAUAUGCAGAAGAUAUUCCCAGGUUACUGCAUACAGGACCUCUUAAGGCUGUGAUUUAUAUAUUCUUCUUUUCCUUUUCAGUAGUAUUGGAAAGUUAAUAUUUUAAAGCAUGUCCAGAUUACUCAACUCUCCUUUUAUCAUUGUCUCUCAGAUGAGUGGGAAAACUUUUUGGAACGUGUUGGAACUGAAAACGUUAAUGCAUCAAAUGAUGAAAUAAAUGAGGAGGAUCUUAGAAAUUGGGCUUCUUUUCGAGGGCAAACUCUAUGCCGAACAGGUUUGUGGUGCCAUUUUAUUCUUAGGAAACUGGUGUCUGUUUUCUGAAUAAUAAAAAUUAAAAACUAUUACAGUUUACUUCUAAGUUUUCUCAUAUACACGUUGCAGUUCGGGGGAUGAUGUACUAUCAGAAAGCCCUAAAGUUGCAGGCAUUUCUUGACAUGGCUGCAGAUGAUGGUAUCUGUCAUUACUGGCCUGCUUCCUACUACUAUUCUUUAAUGAUUGCAUGAAACGUUACUUAUUACAGAAAAAAGCAGAGCUUGAUACCUUUUUUUUUCAACCUGUUGCCUGCUUAAUAAGCAUUUAAACUAGUUGCAAAUUUUGAAUUCUCUUAAACAGAUAUUCUUCAAGGUUAUGAUGCCAUAGGGAAGGGGAACGAUACAUUAUCAGCUCAACUUGAUGCACUUGCGGACAUGAAAUUUACGCAUGUUAUUUCUUGUCAAAUGUUUGGUUCACAUAAAUCUUCUGGAAACCCUCAGGCUCAAGACAUACUUGACUUGAUGAUAAGGUAAAAUUUUUAAUGAAAAGCAUAGAUAUUGCAGAUGAACGAACUAAGUGUGCAAGAGAGUUGACUAUUUAAGGAACUUUUCAAUUGACUAUUGUGGUAGUUCUUGUUUAAACUGAGAAUUCUUUAGUGCAUUUUUGUUUUACCUACAUAAUUGUUUCUUGUAGGUAUCCUUCACUCCGUGUUGCUUAUGUUGAAGAGAAAGAGAAGAUUGUAUCAGAGAAAGAGAAGAUUGUAUCAGAUAGGCCUCCUACAGUAUAUUCAUCUGUAUUAGUCAAAGCUGUCAAUGGUUUUGACCAGGUACCACCUUUGAUUUGUGCAGCAUUUUAAAAAGAACUGUGAACAAGAUAGAAGUGCUUAAUUUGAUAGAAGUGCAUUCAUACAACAAAGACCAUGAAGUGAUUCAGGCCAUAUGCUUGCAUGGUAAAAGCACAGCAUACAAAUUAUAUGUGGAAGAGGAACUGCAACAUAUGUUUAAACGAAAAGUGAAUGAAAGAAUUGCAGGAUUCAUCAAAAUAUGUUUCCCCUCUAUAGAACAUUAAAAUAAUUAAUAAUGCCUAUUCAUAAUUGACUUGAACUUCCAUAGAAGUGUGUUUCUUGGUAGCAGAAAGCAUUCACUGUUCAAAAUUAACUAAAAACAUGCAUUCCUACAGUCUUAAUACCAUCAAAAGAUAGGUUUGAGUCUCUGCAUUUGAACAAUGUCUUCUCUGUUUUCCUACAUCAGUAUUGUGCUUCACUUUUAGAUCCCUCCGCUUUUGUAGGAGAUAUAUCGCAUAAAACUCCCAGGUCCACCAAAUAUUGGGGAAGGAAAACCCGAGAAUCAGAACCACUCAAUAAUCUUCACCCGUGGUGAAGCUCUCCAAGCAAUAGAUAUGAACCAAGUAAGUUCAGCCUUGACUAGGUGAAGAUAAGAUGGUUGAGGAUAUUGUCAUCCUGAGCUUGUUUCUUGUAGGAUAAUUAUAUGGAAGAAGCUUUCAAGAUGAGAAAUAUCUUACAAGAAUUCCUCCGCGAGCGAGGACCGAGGCCUCCCACAAUUCUUGGGAUGAGAGAACACAUAUUUACAGGAAGGUCAGCUUUUAGGACUCAUGAAUACUAAUUCUGGAUAUGGCUAAGUCCAAUUAUAACUUCUACCACCUUUUUGAAACCUGCUGAAUGAUCUUAUCUACCUCUCCACUUGCAGUGUAUCUUCUUUAGCAUGGUUCAUGUCAUAUCAAGAGACCAGCUUUGUUACCAUCGGCCAAAGACUUCUAGCUAAUCCACUCAGGUUAUUAAUGCCUUGUUCUAUUACUUAUGUAUGAUAACUUAUAUUGGUGUCUUCUGACUAGAGAAUAAAAGAGAUAUUAGCUGAUGUUUGUUUUUUACAACUGAGAUGUAAAAUUUUUCUUGUUUUGUCAUAUUGGUGCCAAGCUAUCAUAGUAAUGCACAAGAACCUGAAAUUCUAUGAAUAAUUAUUUAGUACUUUGAAGUACGAUUGACAUUUAGUUAUCACAGACAAGCUGCAUGCAGGGUUUUUUUUUAUCAAUUUCUUUAUUCUAUUAAUCUGAUAUUAAGAAAAGUGCUUAUGCUUGUGUGACGUUUUCCUCUUAAACUUGUAAUACAGGGUUAGAUUCCAUUAUGGACAUCCUGAUUUGUUUGAGAGAAUUUUUCACCUAACAAGAGGUGGAGUUAGCAAAGCAUCAAAGACAGUAAACUUGAGCGAGGAUGUGUUUGCAGGUAGUAAAAGUGAUUCCUUGUUUCAGUAGAUGCAUUACUUUUUUUAUUAAAUCUCUUACUUUACUAUCCGUUGGAUAAUAUUCUCCAUUUUUUAUUGAAAACAAAACUUAAGACUAUAAGCUAAUGUGUUUCCUCUAAUUAACUUGUAUGGAAUUAAAUAUUCUCACAUGCUUCAAACUUUCUCCUUAGACUUCAGUCUUUGCAUAUGGUGGUUCCUACAGAUAAAGAUACUGCACUUUCUUGUUAGAAGUAUCAUGCCAAGUCAAACUUUUGAAGACAUAAAAUUGUGGAUGGUAGGAUUUUUAGUUUGUUCUGGUGAACUAAUUUUAUGUGCUGUAGGUUUUAAUACUACACUGCGACGGGGAAAUAUCACUUAUCACGAGUAUAUGCAAGUUGGCAAAGGGCGUGAUGUUGGUCUCAACCAAAUUUCAAAGUUUGAAGCCAAAGUAGCAAAUGGCAACAGUGAACAAACUCUAAGCCGUGAUAUAUACUGCCUUGGGCGUCGAUUUGACUUCUUCCGAAUGCUCUCUUGUUAUUUCACCACCAUUGGCUUUUACUUUAACAGCCUGGUAAUCAAAUAUCCUUCUUUUUGAAGUGAAUUACAAAUUUUAUGAUUUUAUCUAGCACUUUUCUGUUUAAUCUCGAGAGUUUUCCAGCAGACAUUCUUAGAACAAAACAAAAAAAUCUUGAAACAUUAGUGUGCUUUAACCUCUUAAAUAUCACCAAUUCUGCUCCAAAAAAAUGCGAUAGAAUCAAGUAAAUAUGAUUUGUUGCACUUCAUGCUGCAUCUCUGUCAGUUUCUCUACCGAGAGCAAUAGUUCUUCGUUAGAAAGAUUGCUUACUGUUGAAAUAGUAAUUUUCACAUGCAAAAUUAAGUCUAUAUUCCUUUUGCCUUCUACAGUCUGCGUUUUGCUUAUGCAGACUCUGGAAUAAAUAUUCAUGCUUGUUGACAUUAUGCAGAUAUCAGUAAUUGGAAUAUACGUAUUCCUAUAUGGGCAGCUAUACCUGGUCCUUAGUGGUUUACAAAGAGCACUGCUUCUUGAGGCUAGAAUACAAAACAUAAAAUCAUUAGAAACUGCUCUGGCCUCCCAGUCAUUUAUCCAGCUUGGGCUCUUGACAGGCUUACCUAUGGUGAUAGAGAUUGGACUUGAAAGAGGAUUCCUUAAUGCUCUUAAAGAUUUUGUUCUCAUGCAACUGCAGCUAGCAGCCGUUUUCUUUACUUUUUCUUUUGGAACAAAAUCUCACUAUUAUGGUCGAACUAUUCUUCAUGGAGGAGCCAAGUAUAGACCAACUGGCCGUAAGGUGGUGGUUUUCCAUGCCAGCUUCACUGAGAACUAUAGGCUGUACUCUCGCAGCCACUUUGUAAAAGGAUUUGAGUUGCUGCUUCUGUUGAUUGUGUAUGAUUUGUUUAGGCGGUCCUUCCAAAGCAACAUGGCUUAUGUGUUAAUUACGUAUGCAAUAUGGUUCAUGUCAAUGACUUGGUUGUUCGCGCCAUUUCUGUUUAAUCCUUCGGGUUUCAACUGGGGUAAGAUAGUUGAUGACUGGAAGGGUUGGAACAAGUGGAUUGUGCAGCAAGGUGGAAUUGGAAUCCACCAAGACAAGAGUUGGCAGUCCUGGUGGUAUGAUGAGCAAGACCAUCUUCGUCAUUCAGGGCUGGGUUCUCGGUUGAUAGAAAUCCUGCUUUCACUUAGAUUUUUCAUUUAUCAGUAUGGAUUGGUCUAUCACCUUGACAUAUCCAGGCAAAACAAAAAUUUCAUCGUUUAUGUCCUCUCAUGGGUUGUCAUUGUCAUGAUUUUUCUGCUGAUCAAGGUAACUCAAAACCCAUCCUAUAGGCAUGAGAUUAAAAUUCCCUUCUGCUGUUUCCUCAUGUAGAUCAGUGUUGUUGCCUUUAAUAUGUUUCAACAAGUUUACUUUGACCAUAAACCCUUUGUGCCACAUGUGUAGUUUAGAUGCUUUUUCAUUUGAUAAUUCAGUAGCGACAAUUACAUCGCACUAAAUUGAUGCAUAUCAGAUGCAAUAAUGGUGUGUUUCCAUCCCCUUCAUUUUUACUCACCUGACUGGAACCUUAUCAGUCACAAUCAAUAAUAUUUUACUUUUAAGGUUCUUUACAUGAUAUAGACGUGGAAAAACUCUAUAGAGACAUCAUUUAAGGCUUUCAGGUGCCUGACUAAUGGCUUCAGGAUUGGUGUUCUCUUGUUCUUAAGCUACCUUAUUGUCACCUACAAUUUCUUGUAGUAAUUCCACCAUGUUGUUGGGCUUUAAGAUGGACUUAAGUUGAAAAUCAAAUUCAGAGCUUCAGAGACUGAAUGAAUCUUGGUUUUUUUUUAAAUUUUCUUUUUAGAUAUAUCUGGCAGGAUGUGAGAACAUGUUAGUUUGAGCUCCACCAGAAGUCAAAUUGGACACUAAUAAGGAUGGUAUCUUAUAAACGAUAUUCUAGCAGCGCUUAAUGGAGUGUGUUUCUUGUUGUGUAGUGAUUCCAAAUCCCACCUCCCAAUCUUCUAAUUUUUGACAAUGUGUGCAUCCUUUUUGUUAUGUUUUCAUCUUUAGGGAAGAGAUGCCGAUAUGAUUGAAAGAACUAUAGCUAUAGUUUUACAUGUCUUCUUAAGCUUCACAGACAAUGUGUUUAUAACUCGCGUUCAUGUAAGUUUGUAAUGGAUCCUCAACUGUGCUACCUAUGAAACAUGCUAUACAGGUGGUGAACUUGGGGAGGAAAUAUUUCAGUGCGAACUAUCACCUAGUAUUCCGGCUAUUUAAAGCACUAAUUUUCCUUGGAGUUCUGGCUACCAUUAUUACUCUGUCAAUCAUUUGUGAUCUAUCUUUCAAGGAUUUGGUUGUUUGCUGUCUGGCCUUUCUGCCAACUGGUUGGGGGUUGAUAUUGGUAAGUUCAGAAUGAACCUCGUUUGAUUAUGAAAGCAGUCAUGUAUGACCUGUACACUUCUUUUACUAAAGUGACAAUAUAUCCAGGUUGCACAAGCUGUUAGACCCAAGAUUGAAGGCACUGCAUUGUGGCAUUUCACCAGGGUUUUUGUUCAAGCAUAUGAUUAUGGCAUGGGUAUAGUUCUUUUUGCACCAAUUGCUUGUCUGGCAUGGCUUCCCAUCAUUUCAGCUUUCCAGACUCGUUUCCUUUUCAACGAGGCUUUCAGUAGGAGACUGCACAUUCAACCAAUUCUUGCAGCAAAGAAGAAGAAGCAUAGAUGAUCUUAACUGUAAUCGAGUUUAAUGUACAUAAGAUCUGUACAUGCAGAAGUAAUACGAAAAUCAUUUUCGUGUAUAGUUAGGAUAACCAAUUAUCCUAUGCUAAGCUCAUUAUUUAUUCAGGGAAUAAGGAGACAGGCUUAGAUGUUUAAGCUCCUAUUGGCUUUCAAUUGCAUUCAUCCGCCUAUAACAAUGAAUUGUCCUAGUGACAAUCAUACACCUUUUACAGGCUUAAAGUUGGACUUAAUUGUUGCAUCAAGUAUUCUUGAAACUUAAAUGAUGUUUUCUUGCUGUGAUGCUAGUGUAUUUUACUAGCAUAAUUUUGUUAAUUUUUACAUGUCGCCUAAGUUAAUUUUUUUUUUAUUUGGGCUGAAUAAUUCAUUAUGAAAAUUGUGGGAAAAUAAAAAAUGGCUUCCACCCUAUAAAUGAAAGAGGUGACUAUUCAAGAUAAUUUUGUUGCACAAAUUAAAUCGUGACUUCCUUUCUUGAACUGAUUCUCAUAUGCAUUGUAGACCAAUCAAUGCAUUUCACAUUCUCUGUGCAAAGCAUAUGAUGAUCUUGUAAACAAAUGUUCCCGCAAUUAGAUCUAAAAAUCAAGACCUCUUGUCUAAAAGAUAUUAUUACAUUUUAAACACUUCUGGUGUAUACUGUUUUGCUGUAAUUCUGCCAGCUGAAGGUAUUUUUUUAGUAUUGCAUCUAUUCUAGACUUGUUCUUUCAACCCUAAGUCGAAUUCUGUGCUGACAUAAUUUGUAAAAAACAAGAAAAUAACAAGUUUGAAUGUAUACAUUAUUGUUAAGAGCCAAGAAUUUGCUAGUGUGGAUAUGUUGCCUUAUAUGCAUCUGUAAAUUUUAAACAUUUACGUGAUAUUACAACAAAUAAAAAAGAACCAAAAUAUCAAACAUUAAUGACAAAAAACGAUUUAGACAAAAAAUGAAAAAGAUAGAUCAAAUUAUGAGAAAAAUGAAGAAGACGGAUGACAUAAAAGGUGCAGACUUUAGGCAGCUUUGAAGCCAUCCUGUAGCUCGUCGGACACAAUCUCAGAGGGAAGACCAUGAUUUCACGUUCGUUGCUUGUCAAGAACGCCAAAUUCCGGCUAGCCAUCUUGAAAUCUUCACUGUUCUAUCAAUCUCUUCUGCAAAGAUCAAAUUUUUUAACGUCCUCUCAUCCAUUUUCUCCAUCCCAAGAAUCCCAUAUCCCCAACCUAGCCAACCACAAAGACUGGUUAAGCCCAAAUGAGACCAUCAAAAUAUUCCAAUCCUUUAAAGAUCCCAACUUUACUCUUCCAUUGUUCAAUCAAAUCUCGCAAAGGAAAGACUACAAUCCCAAUGAAGCCCUUUACUCUACAGUCAUAAAUAAGCUUGCACUAGCCAAAGAUUUUGAUGCAAUUGAAGCCCUUAUGGAAAAAAUCAAGCUUGAAAGAAAAUGCAGACUUUCUGAGGAGUUUUUUGUUAAUGUUAUGAAGAUUUAUGGUAAUUUAGGUGGGAGAAUAAAUAGUGCUAUUAAGACCCUUUUUGAUAUGCAUAGUUAUAAGAGCUGGCCUACUGUUAAAUCCUUCAAUUUUGUGCUGAAUUUGCUUGUUUCAGCUAAGCAAUUUGAAGUUAUUCACGAGGUUUAUAUGGGUGCUUCUAGGUUGGGAGUUGAAAUUGAUGCUUGUAGUUUGAAUAUUAUGAUCAAAGGGUUGUGCCAAUGUGGGAAGAUCGAUGCUGCCUUUGCUGUGCUUGAUGAAUUCCCGAAGCAGAACUUUAGGCCUAAUGUGAGAACGUUUUCCACUAUAAUGCAUGGUUUAUGUGAUCGUGGGCGUCCUGAUGAUGCAUUUGGGUUGCUAGAUAGGAUGGAAAGGGAUGGUAUUGAGCCUGAUGCGAUCACUUUUAAUAUACUGAUCUCAGGGCUUAAAAAGAGUGGAAGAGUCGAAGAGGGUAUUAAGCUUUAUGAUAGGAUGAUGAUUAAAGGGUGCGAUCCAAAUCCUGGAACUUAUCAGGAGGUUUUGUAUUGUUUACUUGAUGCCAAGAGGUUUGUUGAGGCGAAAGAUUUGAUGUGUAGAAUGAUUCAGAAGGGUGUAAAUCCAAGUUUCGAGUCUUACAAGUUGGUGAUACAAGGGUUUUGCAAUGAAAAUCUUGUGGGAGAUGUCGAAUGGGCGUUGAAACAAAUGACAAGACAGGGUUUUGUUCCCAAAAUGGGGAUGUGGAAGCGCAUUGUUCAGUGCCUGGUUUCUGGUAGGAUUGAGUCUACCAUUUUCCCUUACGAAGAAAUUGUUGGAAGCUAAUCCAGCAUGAUAUAUGUGUACGAUCUGCUGAUGGAAGUCGAAGUAGCUGUGAUGUUAGUCAGUAAUCAAAAGAUUUAAUGCUUCGAGGGCAAAAGUCAGGGGACCCAUUGAUUGGUUUUAGUCAUAGAUUGAGCCAAGUUCCUGCUUUCCUUCACUGGUGGCACAGCUAAAUAACACCUGCAUUGGCAUUGAGAAAGUGUUGUAUAGGCUGUCAAUAUGAUGGUCUAUGUACUGGUUUUACUUGCCUGAAUAGUCAGAUGUGCAACUUCUGGCAGUUCUCUGCUGCUGAACUGGGAUCAAACUGAAUACUUUAACAGUACUAACAGUGAGAUGUCUACGAGAUUUAUCCGUCACUUGGUAUGGUUGCCCAGAUUUCUUUUCUGAAUUUGUGAAAAGAACUCUGAUAGCAGAUUUUAGUUCUCCGAGUAGCUGAGCAGGGGAAAGAGCUGGAGCUCACAAAAUUUUGUUUCCUCGGGACAGCUUAAAGUCAUAGAAAUGCAACAGCAGCUGUUCUGUUAUCUAUUGGCAUCACCAAGCAUGUAAAAUGGGGAUAAACUGUCAUUUCAAUAUCCAACAUUCCUGAAAGAUAAUACAUUUUACGCACCAGCCCAGAUUUCUGGUUAGCUCAUAGAUAUCCUAGAGUUUUCAUUCUGGCUGUUUCUGUGGUUUCUGGUGGUUUCAGUAUCAUCGACAGACCCAUGGUGGUCUUAAACAACGAAAUCAGUAAACAAAAGAAAUGGUUCACACCUAAUGACUGCAGAAGGGUCAAGGGCCACAAAGGUCCCCCUCUCCCUCAAAAAAUAAUACUUGAAUCUCUAUACUAUUCUUCUAGCACUCAGCUUAUGAAUGGACUUCUUUGUGUGGUUAAUGAAAUUUUUUCCCAGAUAGCCUUAAAAAUAUCGAGACAGUAGGAUAUUCAAUUGAUCACUACACACAACUUUCAAUAGCUGUUCAUACUGAACUCAAAUUUCGAAAGGAUCUGAUUUAUAAAUGCAGUACUUCUAAGUUUGGACUUUAAAGUAGCUGAUUUACAACUGCAGUUUUUGCUCGAGUUUAAGUCUGCGGCAAUUUCCUAGUGUCACGACAAUAUAGCGUUUUGGGACCUGUAGUGUCACGAUGCAUGAGCACAUUAGACAGAAAGUUACCCAGUCGCAGAAGAUGCGGAAAGUGAAUAUCAGCAAAAGUGCUAAGGUAGUUUUCAUAAUUGCCGUCACUAAAAAGAAUUCGAACAUCUUUACAGAAAAUCUCUUCAGUUUUAAACAUCAGCCAACAGAUUGAACAAAUUACAGGAACCAAAAACUAUGUACUAUCAAACAAGCAUGACUCUGUCUAUGAUAUCCAGCAAAAACAGCUGUACAUACAGAUCACCAAAGACCUCAAUCUACAAAGCCAAGUCUAUCUCCCAACCAGUAUGCACUUUUAACACAUGACCAACUACCUCUUGAGCCUAAGAAAAAAAUAAAAACUAUUUGUCUACCUUCAUAUCUCCACCAGGCAGCUUGGGACUACUCUUAGAUUCUUCAAUUACUUCAUUUCUCUGAAUGCAGCCGGAUUCGUCAUCACCUAUUUUAGAUUCGGGAAUAACCUUUUCUUCUUGUAUUACAAUAUCCUUUACAACAUCACUCGAAGGAGACUGGAUUCUGUUUUUACUAGGACUAGAGGAGUCUUUGUCAUGAUCAGAGAUGGGGUAGGAGACAACCGAGAUUGGUUCAACACGAGGGGUAUAAACCACUGAUGGAAGUAAAUCCUCUUCAGAAGUAGUAGAUUCCACUGAAACAUCCCUUUCUGUAGGUUGUGAUUUUGAUUCAAAAUAAAAUUUCUUUGAUCCUUUCCUGGAAAGAGCGUGCCUUAUGCCAUAAGCAGAUUGCUUUAAAAUGCUUUUUGCCCUGUCUUUUACCUUGCCCCUGUGUGGACUUUCGGGCCCACUAUCUUCAGAACUUUCUUUUCCAUCUGGUUGCGGAAUGUUUUGAGCAGAUGGAGCAGUAACAGGGUCAUCCACUAUGAACUUCACACCAAUUUCGUCAGAAUUCAUGGAUCGAAGAUUAAUGUGUCGCGAUGGAAGUGGCUCUUCAACACAAACAGACUUCUCACUUCUCUGUCCUCGAUGAAACAAUGAACUCAUCUUAUGUAAGCCCCUUUUUACAGCAUUUGCAGAAUGCUCUUUUUCAGCACCUGCAGUUUCUUCUGCAUUCCUACUGUCAUUGUUACGUGAUCCAGAUGCUGUUGACUUGAAGGUGCCUGCAGAGUCAACACCCUCACCAUGAAUGUUGGUGUCAAGGAUCCUACUCUUCCCCUUCCUUGCCUCCCAUAUUUGAGCAACUUCACUCCCUGGACGAUGAACCCAUAUCCCAGUUUCCUGUUGCCCUUCAACAUCUAUAGGCUCAUAAGCAUCUGCUACUUUCAGAGAUUUCUCAGAUGUAACCGAUGAGAAGGAACCUUGAUUAGUUGAAUCGGUUGCAAAUGACUCUCUUUUAUAUUCAUCUAAAUUCUCUUUUCCAAAUGGUUCAUUAGACCCCUGCACAUGAAUUAUUACUCAGGGAACAGUAAACACAAAAUCCGAAAGAACGAGCACCAUGUCUCACAAAGCCCUCAAGCACCUUUGUGUCGACAAUAGUCACAGGUUUUACAAUAAUUGAGUAAUAUGUCUUGCAAAGCCAUUAAUUAAACUCUUGGGAAUAAUGUAAACUGAAACAAUCAAUUAAUCCUUGCAAGUUUCUUCUUCUGGUUUCAGCAAACUAGUAAUUAUAUAUCACUAUCAUCAAGAACACAACGGGAACCCUAAAAAAGACAGGCAAGUAACUACUUAAAUCAAGCACCAAGAUCACCUUUCCAUUGCCCUCAGUCACAGUAAUUGCAAGAUGUAGCCGUCCUACUUUAACAUUCUGUAGAGACAACCACAUGUCAUGCCGCUGGCCAUCUCUGAACUCAUUUAGGUUUAUGGAACAUUCCCUGAAAAUAUCAUGAGGCCCUACUAUCAUUAUUUCGUUACAAAAAGUAGUAAGAAAUUUCAUAUGUUUCACAGGCUUUAGAUCACAAGAUCAAAUUACCAUCACACGAUGGAGGACAAGGAAUCACCUUGAUGUCAGUCAUACUACUCUUUUCACCAAAAAAAUUUGAACAUAAAAUAUGAAAUAGAAAACAGCCUCUAGCUUCUUAACGUUCAGAAGAAAAUUUCCUUACGACCCUUGUGGUGUUUAAAAUCAGAAGAGACUAACACUACGACACAAAAAGAAACAAAAAUGAAACCAAUUACCACAUGCAGAAAAUAGAGACAAUUUAAUAAAAAAUUAUCUGGGCAUGGAAGCAAAUUUCAAGAGAGAAAGAGAGAUAGUAGAACCACUCUACAAAUUAUAAACUGAGAAACUCAAAAGAUAAGCUUAAAUAUAAUUCUUUGUAGCUGCAGUAAAACCAAACUGAAAAUAAGCACGGACCCCAUCUUAUCAUCGACAAAACGAUCUUUGUCCCGAACUUCGAUUCCAAGAACAUUUGGUGACUCCCAGGUACGGAUGGGGACCUUAAACUCCUCGUGCCAUUUUGGAGUUAGUGUCCUCUUCUGCGUCUUCGUCCUAAAUCUGUAAGGACCAAGCUGGCCCUUGACAUAAGGAUCAGCCAAUCCUGAAAAACAAAUUAAAUGAAUACACAUGUACAUGUCAUUGUAUAUUGUCAUUUGUACAAGAUGUCAUCAACGUGUUUGAGCUCACCAUUUAGAUCCGAGGGCUUCAUUUCAGCUGCUUCAAUUACUUCAACAACAGCAUAAGCUACAGGCUGCUUCUCAUCAAUAGAGAACCAGCUUUCUGAUGUAUCAACAGAAAAUUAAUAACAAACAUAUAAAGAGGAAUAAGUAUUAUUUGAGGACUAUAAAAUAUAAUACACUCAUUGUACUGAAACCAUCAACCAUAUAUUUCCCAAUAAUUAUAAUACAAACAAAAACCAAGCUCCUCUGACCCUAAUGGACCAAAUACAUCUACCGAUUAUUACAACAUGUAGUAUUAGUACAUUAGUUCCAUAAUCCUCCAAAAACACCAAUAUAAGCAUCAGCAUCAGACGAAUCCCAUCAAGUCAACAAGAUGUUGGCUUACAUGCUUAGUUGGACCAUUACAUGGGAAGAACCCAAGAAUGUCUGGAACCUUAAUUGGUAAACUUGGGUCAUGAAAUUACCUGCUUGCGGUGAAGCAAAUUUCUCCAUAUCAACCACCAACAUAUUUGGCUGCAAAGUUCCACAAGCAUGUUUAGUUGCAUUAAGAACACUUCCAACAAAUUUUAUCCUCAUAAAUGAACAUGAAGAAUGAAAUGUUAAAAAAGAACGAGAUGCAGUAAUUUCCUAAUCAUUGAGAAGAUUGCAAAUGAAGUAUUAUAGGUCCAAGAAUAUUACCUCAACAAGUGUCUGCUCAAAGGCAACAGCCAGAAGUUUAUCCUAAUAAACAGGAAAGUAGACAAUUAGUAUGAGUUAGAUAAACUGGUACACAGACUCGCACGCUUGAGGCACUCACAUGCUCUCAGACAUACAAAAAGAGACAUUUAAACAGAUCUUUCCACAUUGACUUACCAGCCAUCCUGCAAUCCCUGGAAGUACAGUAACAUCAAGGCCAUGGGUGAAUAUUGGUUUCACAAUCAUCUGAAAGUAUGGUGGCUCAACAAAGCAUAGACGCACACGACCAAGGAAGGGCCAUUUUCGUAUAAACUUCACCCCAACCAAGACCU
rnacentral:lncRNA from 1 species